GAUGAAGACGUAGUGAAAUGCGAUACGUAAUGUGAAUUGCAGAAUUCAGUGAAUCAUCGAAUCUUUGAACGCACAUUGCGCCCGCCAGCACUCUUGCGGGCAUGCCUGUUCGAGCGUCAUUUCAACCAUCAAGCCCCAGGCUUGCGUUGGAGCCCUGCGGCUGCCGCAGCCUCCUAAAAGCAGUGGCGGCCUCGCUAUCACACCGAGUGCAGUAGAUUACUCUUCGCUCAGGGCGUGCAGCGGGUUCCGGCCGUGAAACCCCCUACUUUUAAAGGUUGACCUCGGAUCAGGUAGGAAUACCCGCUGAACUUAAGCAUAUCAAUAAGCGGAGGA
rnacentral:misc_RNA from 1 species